rnacentral:misc_RNA from 1 species
UAAAAAAAAAAUCACUAAAUAUAUUCUCUUUUCAUGGGCUCAAUCAACUUUUGCAAGGCGGUGAAAAGGAUGAGGGAGCCUAAAACGACAGAAACUCGCACAGAAGGACUCCAGCCGGCAAAGCCAAGACGUCAAUUGUAUUAUUGGCUAUAAUAAAUAUAUAUUAAUUAAAAAAUAAUUUUAAAAUUAAAUUUAAUAUAUCUUUCAAUAAUUUUUUUCUCAACAAGUAGCCAAACUCAAGUACCGCUGCAACGACAAUUACCUCAGCCUUAUCGCGAUCGUCCUUAUUCCUUUGUCUUCUACACUUUACAGCAAAACUAAGAACAUCAGUACUAUAAUGGAGAAAGCCCAGCUUGUUUUCGUCCCCGCCCCUGGUAUGGGUCAUAUUGUAUCGGCGGUGGAAGUAGCAAAGCUUCUUCUUACCCGCGAUCACCGCCUCUCUAUCACUGUCCUUGUCCUUGAGCUUCCUCUCACAAACUCUAAGGUUCAGAACUACGUUGAAUCAGUGCAAGAUUCCUCCUCCACGUUAUCCAAUCGCCUUCGAUUUAUUGACUUGCCAAAAGACGGGUCUGAAUUAUUUGAUUUAUCUUCUUUCUUUGAGAGACAAAAACCCAAUGUGAAAGAUGCUGUGUUGAAGAUCACUCAGUCU